GAAAACAAUCCAUAUGAUCCUAGUCUGAUGGCCCUUAUGGAUUACAGGGACUACAUUUAACAGAAAGUUCCCUGUUCAGAAUCUGAAUAUUCGACAUUUCUUUAUGUCAUGCCCAUGUCAUCAACAAGAGUUUUCCUUGAGGUAAGUUCAAAUGGAUUUAUCAUAACAAUUAUGUGCAAAGUAUUUAGGGGUGAUACAGUACUCUGCAGGAAACUUGUUUGGCCUCCAAAGGUGCUAUGCCUUUUGACUUGUUAAGGAGAAAACUCAUGUCAAGGUUAGAGACAAUGGGAAUUCGAAUUUUAAAAACCUAUGAAGAGAUAAGCUUCAUAAGCAAAACUGCGAUGUCUUCCAAGCAGUAUGCUUCUUUUAUCUAAUGCAGAUGCAUGAUUUUAUUUUGGCUCUUCAUUUUUAUCCUUAAUCCCGAAAUAAGGAUUUUCUUUUUUAUGAACAAUACCAGGAGAGAGCUUUAUGCUCAUUUUGUUCUCAUGUACUGUACACAGAUAGCAUGUUACACUCCUUAAAAUCAUAGCUUAGGAGUUCUUGUAGAAAGUUUUCAGGUUCUAGUGAAAGUCAAAUUUGGAAAAUUGUGAUUCAAUCCUAAUGAGAGUCUCUAUCGUAUUCCAUGAUAAUUAAUGAUGUUAUUAUUAACAUGAUCAUUUUAUCUGAAUACAUAUAAUAAAGAGGCUUUUCUAUCCCCUUUUUCUUUUCUGAAUUUCUGUUUCUCAUAUAUGAUUCUUAGAAGAUAAGAAAGCUGAUACGAGAAAAACAGCAACAAUAGUAAAACACAACGUUGGGAUUAAGUAAUGGGCAAGAGAAAGAAUCGUUUUUUGUUGAAUAACAGAAUAGUUGAGAUUGUUAAGUUGAGCUGUUGUGUACGGACACGUGGCAAGUAUAGCGAAUAUUUGGCGGAUGAUCAGGCGAGCUUCAUAGGAGAAUUUGAGAAGUAGUUAGUUCUAUUGAAUAGCCUAUAAAUAAGAUAUAAUUGAUGAGAUGUACUCAUUCUUGAUUCUAAUGAAAGUGUGAUUCUUCUUUCUUAUUUCUGUUCUUAAUCUAUCUCUUAGCUCAGUAAAAUUCUUCUACUAGUGAUAUUAGAGCUUAUCGUUCCUCGGCUAUGGCGGAGGGAACCCGUUCACAUGAAUUGGUGCAAAGAGUGAUGGCUUUAAUGCAAGAGUUUGAAGCAAGGCAGGAAAAUUUAAGAAAAGAGGCUAAGCAACGCAAUUAGAAGGCAAUGGAUGAAAUUAAGGCCUUGCUAGCUGGUCUUAGUUUGCAGAAUAUGGAGUUGGAGUUUCCUCGGUUCAGUGGAGAAGGAUUGGAGGGAUGGCUACUAAGGGUGGAUUAUUUGUUUGAGGUUGCAAAUGUUGCUGCAGAUGAUCGGGUUAAGAUGGCUGUCCUGCAUCUGGAAGGUAAAGCCCUUCAAUGGCAUCAAAGGUUCUUUAAGGUGAAAGGACCUACAGCUUCUCUUGAUUGGGGUGCCUAUGUGGGAGCUAUAACUGCCAGAUUUGGUAGUAAUGGAUAUGAAGAUCCAUUAGCAGAUUUGAGGAACCUUAAACAGGUUAGUUCCUUGCAAGAUUAUCUUGAUGCUUUUGAUGAGAUAUAUCCUAAAGCUGGUCUCCGGAAGGACCAAGCAUUGAGUUUUUUAUCUUUCGGGCUUGGUAGAUGAACUACAAAUGCCAGUAAGAAUGUUUAAACCCUUUACUUUGGCCGAGGCCUAUUCAUUGGCAAGACUACAAGAGAUCACAGUAGCUGCCAUUCAAAAUAAACCUAAACCUUCAGUUAAAUCUACCAGUUACAAUUACCUACAUUUUUUCUCGUACUACCACCCAAAUCCAAACCAAUAAACCUACAAUAACAACAACUUCUACUUCUAAAGAACAACCAGGACUGUUACCACUACCUUCAUUACCUAAACCACCUGUUGUACCUGACAAAAACCCAAAAAUUACUGAUAAAGACAUGGAUGAAAGAAGGGCAAAGGGGUUGUGCUUUUGGUGUGAGGAAAAUAUACACCUGCUCAUAAGUGUAAAAAGAAACAAGGAUAUGUAAUGCAAUUAAUUACAGAAGAGAAUAAGGAAGAUGAGGAAACUGAGGGCAAGGGAAUUGAAAAUGAAAUGGUGUCAGAUAUGUAAUUAUCUCUCAAUGCCAUGUGGGGAACACAAGGAGCUCAAAAUAUGAGAAUAAAAGCGGAGUGUGGGAAAAGAAUAUUACAUAUUCUAGUGGACACAGGAAGUACUCAUAAUUUUUUGAGUACGAAAAUGGCUUCUAGCUUAAGUGUGAAUUGCAAAAAGCUGCUGGAGUAUCAGUUGAAGUAGCUAAUGGGCAACAACUACAAUGUGGGAGCUUCUGUAAGAAUUUUACAUGGAGCAUGCAAGGUUUAGAAUUUCAUGCAGAAGUAUAUGUUCUUGCUUUGGAUAACUAUGACCUAAUCUUGGGGGCUCAGUGGCUUUCCACUUUAUGGGAGAUAUUAUGGAAUUUUCAGACUAUGACUAUGACUUUUAAAAGGGAAUCUGUGCUUUGUGUGUUGCAGGGAGAAACUAAAAAGAGACUUCCAAAAGAGCUUAAUAGCUUGAUGACUUACCAAUAACAUCCAAAUGAAUAUGAAGGGAGGUUUGUUCAUGAUGAUUACAUUACUUUUCUCAGCUUGGAAUACUCUUUGGCCACA
rnacentral:misc_RNA from 1 species